CACGUAGGGACCAAGCGUUGUCCGGAUUUAUUGGGUUUAAAGGGUGCGUAGGCGUCCUGGAAAGUUACGGUUGAAAUCUCCUUGCUCAACAAGGAAACUGGCCGUAAAACUAUCAGGAUUGAGUACAUUUGAAGCGGGCGGAAUGUGUCAUGUAGCGGUGAAAUGCUUAGAUAUGACACAGAACACCAAUUGCGAAGGCAGCUCGCUAAACUGUAACUGACGCUGAGGCACGAAAGCGUGGGGAUCAAACAGG
rnacentral:rRNA from 1 species